CAGAAGGGGAGUCGGAGCAGA
rnacentral:miRNA from 1 species